rnacentral:rRNA from 1 species
GAUGAACGCUGGCGGCGUGCUUAACACAUGCAAGUCGAACGGAAAGGCCCAAGCUUGCUUGGGUACUCGAGUGGCGAACGGGUGAGUAACACGUGGGUGAUCUGCCCUGCACUUCGGGAUAAGCUUGGGAAACUGGGUCUAAUACCGGAUAGGACCACCUUCUGGAUGGUGUGGUGGGAAGAUUUUCGGUGUGGGGUGAGCUCGCGGCCUAUCAGCUUGUUGGUGGGGUAAUGGCCUACCAAGGCGUCGACGGGUAGCCGGCCUGAGAGGGUGAACGGCCACAUUGGGACUGAGAUACGGCCCAGACUCCUACGGGAGGCAGCAGUGGGGAAUAUUGCACAAUGGGCGGAAGCCUGAUGCAGCGACGCCGCGUGGGGGAUGACGGCCUUCGGGUUGUAAACUGCUUUCGCUAGGGACGAAGCGUAAGUGACGGUAACUGGUGAAGAAGCACCGGCUAACUACGUG